rnacentral:rRNA from 1 species
UGAGGAAUAUUGCUCAAUGGGCGAUAGCGUGAAGCAGCGACGCCGCGUGGGUGACGAAGGUCUUCGGAUCGUAAAGCCCUUUUCUGCGUGACGAGGAAGGACGGUAGCGCAGGAAAAAGUGUCGGCUAACUACGUGCCAGCAGCCGCGGUAAAACGUAGGACGCAAACGUUAUCCCUAGUUACUGGGCGUAGCGCGCGUGCAGGCGGGUUACCAAGUCGGUUAUGAAAGCUCCCGGCUAAACUGGGAGAGGUUGACCGAUACUGGUCGCCUAGAGUGCGAGAGAGGGGUGCGGAAUUCCGGGUGUAGUGGUGAAAUGCGUAGAUCGCCGGAGGAACACCAGUGGCGAAGGCGGCGCCGAGGCUCGCAACUGACGCUCAGACGCGAAAGCAUGGGUAGCGCAUGGGAGCAGAAACGUCGGUAGUCCAUGCCGUAUACGAUGCACACUAAGCGUUCGUUUGUCUACGGACAAGUGAGUGCUGAAGCUAACGCGAUAAGUGUGAGGCUGGACGAGUACGGUCGCAAGGCUA